UUUAAAGAGAGUUUGAUCCUGGCUCAGGACGAACGCUGGCGGCGUGCCUAAUACAUGCAAGUCGAACGAACGGAGGAAGAGCUUGCUCUUCCAAAGUUAGUGGCGGACGGGUGAGUAACACGUGGGCAACCUGCCUGUAAGUUGGGGAUAACUCCGGGAAACCGGGGCUAAUACCGAAUGAUAAAGUGUGGCGCAUGCCACGCUUUUGAAAGAUGGUUUCGGCUAUCGCUUACAGAUGGGCCCGCGGUGCAUUAGCUAGUUGGUAGGGUAAUGGCCUACCAAGGCAACGAUGCAUAGCCGACCUGAGAGGGUGAUCGGCCACACUGGGACUGAGACACGGCCCAGACUCCUACGGGAGGCAGCAGUAGGGAAUCUUCCGCAAUGGACGAAAGUCUGACGGAGCAACGCCGCGUGUAUGAAGAAGGUUUUCGGAUCGUAAAGUACUGUUGUUAGAGAAGAACAAGGAUAAGAGUAACUGCUUGUCCCUUGACGGUAUCUAACCAGAAAGCCACGGCUAACUACGUGCCAGCAGCCGCGGUAAUACGUAGGUGGCAAGCGUUGUCCGGAUUUAUUGGGCGUAAAGCGCGCGCAGGCGGUCUUUUAAGUCUGAUGUGAAAGCCCCCGGCUUAACCGGGGAGGGUCAUUG
rnacentral:rRNA from 1 species